GCUCUCUGUGUCAUGCAUGAGGUAAGAUUUUUAUUGGGCUUGCUGUUUCUAGGAUUAUUUACCUACUUAAAUAAUCUUAUUGAUAUUAUAAGUGAUUUAGGUAAGCUUACAUUAAUAAGAAGGAAAGUUUUGGGGUGCCUGGGUGGCUCAGUCGGUUAGGCAUCCAGCUUCAGCUCAGGUCAUGAUCUCACAGUUUGUGAGUUCGAGCCCCACAUCGGGCUCUGUGCUGACAGCUCAGAGCCUGGAGCCUGCUUCGAAUUCUGUGUCUCCCUCUCUCUCUGCCCCUCCCCUGCUCACGCUGUGUGUCUCUCUCAAAAAUAAAUAAACAUUAAUAAGAAGGAAAGUUUUGAAAUAUUUUAAAACAACAAGUGAUUGGUUCCUUGCAUGGGCAGGAAAGCAAGGUACUAUAUACCAAAACAAGGCAAUUCCCAAGUGUUUAUAAAGGGGAGAGAUACACAGAAAAUAUUAAAACCCAAAAGCAAGAGCAAACAAAUGAGAGAACCAGUAGCUAUUAGGAUAGAUGAGAUGAAGCUAUCUCAGAGUAUAAGAUCUGAAAGAGAAUACAUAUAAAUAAAUAUAAAUACAUAUAAAUAAAUGAACAAAAACUAAAUGUGAAAAUAAAGAGAUGGAUGAUCCUUUUCCUCAACAUUGACAGGAAUAUCUAACCAAACUUGUCUUUUUAAAUGAGUGACAUGUGGGACACCUGGGUGGCUCAAUUGGUUAGGUGUCCGACUUUGACUCUGGUUGUGAUCUCGUGGUUCAUGGGUUCGGGCCCUGCAUCAGGCUCUGUGCUGACAACUCAGAGCCUGGAGCCUUCUUCGGAAUCUGUGUCUCUGUCUCUCUCUCUGCCCCUCCCCUGCUCAGGCUCUGUCUCUCUCUGUCUCUCAAAAAUGAAUAAACGUUAAAAAAAAAAAAUGAAGAGAGGAGAGCCAUGGGUGUGGCAGGCAUUGUAGUAUUUUUUAUUCAGAUUUUUCCAUCAAAAGAAAAAAAAGAAAAAAAAAACUUCUCCCUUCUCUCACCACUGCUUUCCCCAUAUUAGUCUCUCUGUGGCCAGUGGUAAGAUGUAAAUAUCAUCUAGAAUGAGUAACAUAUUGAAAUAAUAACACCCUCAUCCAUGCAACAGUAUUUAUUGAGCACUAUUACAUAUGCAACGUAUUCUGUUAAUAGAAUAAAAGACAGUAGGUGGGAGAUAAAAAUUCAUAAAUGUAAUAACUGAAGGAGAAAGGAAUAAGGAUCACAAGGGAGAUACUGGUAAAAGUAAUGGAGAAAUUUGGAAGAUGGUGUGAUUCUAUCUGGUCACAAGGUCCAACAGGACAUUCAAGGAUGGAGGACGGGAAAUUCAUUAAGUUGAACCUUGAGAGAGGGGUAGGGUUUAAAGAGUUCUAGAAGGGAAGAAUAUUUCAACUAGGAUUGCCAACUUGAGCAAGGGAGUAGAAGUACAGAAUAUGUUGCAUAAGCAUUGUCAGUGGCAAGAAGGGAGUUUCAUAGGUGCAUGAUGGGUGGAAAUGAAGAAUAAGAAAAAUAAAGUUAUAGGUAGUAAUGAGAUGACAGAGAACAUUAAAAGAUAGGCUAAGGAGGGGUUUUGUGAGUAUGCAUGUAUGUAUAUGUGUGUGCCUUUAAGCCCUGGGGAUUAAAGGGGUUUGGGGGAGGAAAUAAACUAUCAGCACAAUAGUUCAGAAAGAUGCAUCUAGCAGCUAGAGUAAAAUAUAUUAAGAAGGAAAGGCUGAAGAUAGGGAAAAUACAGUUCAAAGUCCAUUAUUAUAGUCCUGCAAAAGGAUAUUAGGCCUAAAUGCCAGUGAUGAGAGUGAAAGGAAAGAGAGGGGAUAGGAUCCAAAGACAUACAGACAUAGAAUCCAUAUGACUUGGCCACGAGAGUCAUCUUCAGGAUUUUUCUUCAAAUGGGUCAAUUAGUUGUGUAAUAGAAUCAUGGAAAGAAUGGGACACAGGACAGGGAGGUUUUAAUGGAAGCUCAGGAAAGACUUCAUGCAUGGAGAUGCUUACAAGUCAAGAUAUUGCAGUUGGUAGACCAAGAGCCGCUUUGAGACACAGGGCAUUGGAGAGGUUGAUAAAGAAUGAAUGGAAAUUGAGACUUGAAAUUAAGCUACUUGAAUUCAAACUUUAUAUAUUUUUAAGUGAUUUCAGAAUUCAGAUGAUCUUGUUCUCCUCUAAGAUUACUAAACCUUUAGGAUACUUUCCUGUGGAAGCAAAUUAUUGGUUCUACAGGUCAAAGGAAGUGACCCAGACUGAGUGAAGGUCAAAUGGGAAUAAUCUAAUUUUGAUGGGGAAUGUGUGGAGUAGGUAUAAAUCUAGGUCUUGACACCUUCUUCUGAUUAGAUACCACAAUGAAUACAUUCCAACUGUGUCCAUUUAGUAAUAAGUAUUGCCAGUUGCAAUCUAUGCAUUAAUAUACAAUAAUCAGUCUGAUAUGUUUGUACUUACUUUCUGACUCUAUGUUCAGUUCCAACUUAUCCUUUCUUAGAAGGUUAAGCAUAACUUAGUCUAUUUGUUGUUUACAUAGUACUUUUAUGUCUUCUUCUACCCAGAAGUAAGCACAUUUGAAAGAAGAAUAGGCUUUUGAAAAGCCCCCUCAAGCAUUCAACUUUUUUUUUAAUGAUGAUUUUGAAACUUAAAAGAAAAAAAGAAAGCAUUAAAUUGAGAACAAAGUUAAGACUAUUUCUUUGGCUUGUGAGAGGCAUUGUUUUUUAGUAGCCCAAACCACUUCCAAGUAAUGCUCAUAAAAUCCUCACAACAUUAUGCAGACUUGAAUUUGUAUCAGCUUUAGUGUUUCUGAUGAUCUAUCUCUGCGUAACAAACCAUCCAAAAACUUAGUGGCCUAAAACAGCCAUGUAUUAUCUUUCAUUGUUCCAUAGGUUGACUGAGCUUAGCUGGGAGGUUCUCACCUGGGGUCUCUCACAUGGUUACAAUCAGAUUCAAAGUGGGGCUGGUCUCAUCUGAAAGGUCACUAAGCUGACACCUCAAGUGGCUCAUUCACAUGGCUGGCAGUCGAUGCUAGCUAUAGGCUGGAAAUUCAACUUGGGCUGAGCACUACACAUGACCUCUCCAUAUAUUGGGCUUUCUCCAGCAUGUGCUGAGCUCUAAGAGGGAGCAUCUGAAGAACAAGUAAAUACGUCAAGAAUCCCAGACAGUAACUGCAAAACUUAUGCCUUAGCCUCAAAAGACAGGUAGCAUCAGUUCCACCAUAUUCUGUGUUCAAAGAAAACCUCAUGAAGCCAACCCACAUUCAGGUGGAAGAGGCUAUUCAAGAGUAUUAAUACCAUGAAGCAUGGCCUAAGAUGGGGAUGAACAGGUGACAGACAGAGAAAGAUGCUCUAACCAAAAGACCGCAGGUACAUAGAGGAUAUAGAAGUUUAUUUCUCUCACACGUAAUAGUCCAAGGUGGGCACUCCAGCUGGGCACAUGGCUCUGCCCCACACAGCCAUGUUCAGGGACCAGGUCCCUUCCAUUCUGUUUCUCUGCCAUCACCUAGGGAGUAAGGUUACCUGCAUGGCCACAGCUUGGCUGCAGGUUCAUCAGUAUUCUGGAUCACAGAAAGAGGGGGAUAAGAAUGGACCCAUUUCCUUAAGGAACUGGCCAGAAAUGACACCAAUGACAGUGAUUGGUCUUUGCUUUCGUCUUUGUUUUACUUUAUUUUGUUAAAGACUCAGUCAACUGACCACACCUAACUGCAAGGAAAGGUGGUAAAUGCAAUGUAUUGAGAAUUUAUGUGCUUGGUUACAAUUGUGUAAGCAAUGGUUUUCAUGAACAGUUAGCAGUCUCCCCAAAAACAUGUUAAUAAAUUAUUACAGAACAAUGUGAGAAGUGUUACACUAGAAAAACAUACAAAGUGCUAUGAAUGUGCAACGGGGAGUUACCAGCUUACCUUCAGUGUUUAGAGAUGGUUUUCACAGGAAGUAAAAUCUGAACUGUUUCCAGAAGUAAUGACUUGAGAGAGUCAUUUUUUGCAUUCUGUGCAGAAAAAUAAGAUAAUAUAUCCAGGUACAGAAUAUAGAACAGUGUGACAGGUUCAGGGAAUGGCAGAGAUUUACUGUGGCUGAGCACAAGAGCCAAUGAGAUGAGGAGUUCUAGCAAAUGAGGUCCUCAAAAUAGAGGGCUUUAUGCUAAGGAGUAGCUUGGAUUUUAUCCUCUUAGGAUAUUGGGAGCCAUCAGAAGUUUGUAAGUUUGGGACAGCAUAGUCAGAUUGAUGGUGAUGGUGUGAGGAUAUACUGGAGGAGAGGAGAUUGAACAAGAGGAGGCCAGUUAGGAGUAAAUUCAGGGGUAUGUGUGGAGAAUGAAAUCAAAGUGGUUAUUAUGGAGACGAAGGAGGAAGGAAUAAAUUGCUAGGCAACAGAGACCAUCACUUCCUUACUGCUUGGAUAGGAGGGUUGAGAAAGAGAAAUGAGUGCUUUCUACUUCUUUAAGGUGGAGGAUUGGUGAUGCCAUUAACCAAUUAACAAGUCCAAGAGGUGAAAAGUUUCCUAGGGAAAGAUUUUUCCUUAAUUUUUAGACAUAAGGAAUUUUGGGUAUCUACCAGAUAUCUACACUUCGGACCUAUUUUUGCUGGGUUUAACAGUAAGGGAAAGAACAGAGAGUGAGUCUGAGGACUGGCUUGACUCCAAAUAAAUGGCUUUAUUUUUUUAAUUACAUGACCAGACAUCUGGGAGAAUGCUAUGGCUUAGCAAUAUGGGGAACCAUUUUGGUCUAGACUAGUCUGUGAUAGUAAGACUUUUAAUCAUCACCCCUUUCACAGUGCUACUGCAAAGCACCCAGUGCUGUGGCUUUUGACACAGUAUUCAUUCACUUAUAUUCAGCCACUCUGCACCCCCCAUGUGCCAGAUUCUGUACUAAGGGCUAAGGAUACAACUCAAAAAGAACAAAUACAAUCUCUAUUCUCAGAAGGCUAAGGCCUGAAAAAUGUAAGAGUUAGCCAUUUCUGGUUGGGGAGGGUAGAAUUACAUGUAAGGGGAAAGGGUGGGGGGCAUGUAAAAUAGUUUUCCGGGUUCUAGGCAGAGAUGCAAAGAGAUACAAAGGCAAGAGAUAUAUGGUACAUUUGAAGACUGAAGAAAGUCCAGUGUUGCUGGAGAGUAGAGUAGUAAAUAAAAAGUCAUCAGGCUGAAAAGAUAAGCAAGAGUCAGAUUAUGGAGAGCUUUCUCAACCUCAUAAAAGAGCUUGGAAAGAAGGGUUCUAAAAAAGAGAAUACAAUAUUAUUCAAUUUGCAUUUUCAGUGAAUAUUCUAGCUGUGUGAUGCGGACAAUAUAUUAGAGAUGACAAGACUAAAGCAAGACUAGUUAGUUUAUGAUGACCUGAGUGAGGCAGUGGAAAUGGAAGAAAUAUUUUGAUGUGAGAAGAGUCAGCAGGACCUGAAUUGAUGAGUGAUAGGAUAGAAAGCAUCAAGGUUGACGACCAGGUUUUUGGUUUGGGUAAUUGUAUGGAUAUUCUAUCAUCAACAGAGAAAAUGAAGACAGGAAAGGAGCAUGUCUGCUGUGGGAAUGAUAAGUUCAGUUUUGACAUGCUGAGUUUGUGGUGUCUGUAAGACUUCCAAGUAGAAAUGAACAAUAAGCUAUUAGAUAUAUUGACCAAAGCUCAAAAGGAAGAGAUUUACAAGUGAUAGGGCUGACGAAGUCACCUCAGGAGAACACGUUCAGUGAAAAGCACAGCAAGAUCCCUGAGGAGCUGCAAAGACGGAGGCACCAGAGAACUAAGGGAAAAAUCAGAGAAAUGAAAGCCAAGGGAAGAGAAUGCUCUGGGUCAGAGGGAUGGUCAACAGUGUCAAAUGCUCCUAAAAGUCUAAAGGAUAAUAAAAAGGAAAAGUGUAAUUCAUUAUUUUGAUCAUUGCUAAUCUACAAAAAAAAAAAAAAUUAAAUUUGUGUUUAUUUGAUAAGCAGGAAAGUUGCACAUAUUUUUAUAUAAAAUUGGCCAUUUACAUUUAUCUUAUAAAUUACCAGAUAUUUUUUCUAUUGAGUCUUUGUCAUUUCCCUAUUAAUUUGUAGUUCUUUACAAAUGACGGAUAAUAAUCCUUGUUAUAUGUGAUUUAUUUUUGCCCAGUUUGCCUUCUGUCUGUUCAUUUUGCUUAUGGAGUGGGUUUUGGUUUGUGUGUGUGUGUGUGUGUGUGUGUGUGUGUGUGUGUGUGUGUGUUUUGUUUUUAUCCAUACAGAAGUUUUUAAUCCUUUUGGAGGCAAAAAUGUCAAUCAUUUUUUUCUGUAGUGUCUGGUCUUAUUGUUGUGCCUCAAGUCCGACUCCACAAUUAUACACAAAUUCUCUUUCAUUUUCUUUUAGUGCCUUUAUGAUUUUUUUAACCUUUAAAUCGUAACAUCUGGAAAGUUGUCUAGGAUUACAUAGUACGUGGCUGAAUGUUGUGAAGGGCCCAGUUGUGGCUGAUGAUGAUUUGUUUAUAGGGGUAACAAUCUGUUAGAGAGAAGCCAGUCAUCUGGGUUCACCCAACAUUGGAGUUUUCCAGGCAACUGCAUUAAAUGGACAAUGAGUCAGGGCAGUUUAGAAAAAAUACAUUGAAAUGGACUGUGGACUAUAAGCCAUUAAGGAGACAAGUCAAAAUAGAAAAAGGCUAGUAAGGAAAAAAGGAGAAUCAAUGGACUAGAAGCCCUAUAAGAUAUUUUUUGCAGUUGGAAAAAGGGAUUAUUUGAGUAAGAUGGUUUAAAAAGAUAGGAGGUUGUGGUCAAACUAGGGGAAUAUCUAAAUUACUAUUUCGAAGAAUGCCGUAAUGACCAGAGUUAAAUAUUAAGAAUGGUUCGUCAAACUGAGGUAGAAGAGGUCAUUGAAGACCAAGAAAUAGAGAGGUCAGAGUAUUGGAUAGGUUUUUCAUGUCAGUGUUGGAGUCUCCCCUCUUGAGUGAAGUUGGGUGAGAGUAGCGUGAAGAAAAUCAUCCUUUGAACAUCAGGGUCUUGUCUCACCAGCACCUUUGGCAGUCUUCAUUUACCUUUGAGAGUCCUGAAGUUGCUAAAGAAAUAAAAACUCAGAUUUUAUUGAAAGUCAGUAUCAAAGUCAGAAUCAGAACCGUCUGUAUUCAUGUUUGGAGGUUUUUUGGUAUGGAGAAGCAAGUGAUAAUGUAUGUAAAGCACUUAGCUCAGUGCCUAACAUAUAUUAGUACUCAAUUUGUUACAGCAAUUAUAAUGAUAUUAGAGGGAGAUGAUUUACAUGUGUUUUAAAAUUGGUGUUUGUUUGGUAUUCCUUUCAGGUUUAAGGUCUGGAAUUUCAGCAACCCUGAUCUAGUGUAAAAAAGACUAAGUAGCUUCAGCAUGAGCUUGUUUUCGGAAUCCCAAGAGGGUUGGGAAUGUAUCUGCGAACCCUCUAGAGCUCCAUAUUCGAGCCCAGGGAAUGUAAAAAGAGGCAAAGAAGGAAAAGAAGCAACUAGAGGGAAGUUUUUAGAUUUUUAGAUAGAAAAACAAGUAUUGGUUAGUAUUCUUUACUCUCACCUUCGCACCUUUGCUCUGAUUCCUGAGCCGCACCCCGAGAGAGCAGAAGUAAAUUCCAGAUGAGGCUCAAGAAUCUGCAUUUUUAACAAGUACUCCUGGUUUGUCUGCAGUUCUUGUUUCAGUACAUUUGUGGGAGAUAGUGUGAUGAAGAGGAUAAAGGCUUUUGGGUAUUUUAUAAGUGUUUUAAAUUUUAUUUUCAAUCUGGAAAAUAGAGUGGAAAUAAAAUAAUUGCACAAAGAAUGCACACAAAGGGAAGAAUUCAAGGGCAACUGUUGCGUAGGUCUGCUUUCCUUCUUUUCUUCACCCACUUAAAAUACUCACUAUUGAUCUUGCCUUAAUAAAAAAUAAAUAAAUAAACUCUUUGCUGCUGAAGUUUAUAUUCAUUUUUAUAUAUUAAAACAUACUAAUAAUAGCCUUACAUAUAACAAGGCUGCUCUGUAAUCUGUUAUAGCACCUUUCCAUAGUGAAGCUCAAAAUAAAUUAGAAAACUUUUCAAUACUAUUUAGUAUAUUUCUGGUGAGAAAUAUGAAUAUAAGAUCUAAAAUGAUUUAAGUCAACGACAAAAUAAAUAUUUCAAAGCCACAGAACCUGAGACUGACUUUGUUGUCCACUCACAAUGAGGUAGUUCACAGAAAUAUAACUCUAGUUGCUAUUUGUACAAUUUUUACUUUAGGUUUAGGUUAGAGAGUGUAGAAGUAAUGAUUUUCACUAUGGCACUUAAGUAUGUAGCAACAUUGCAAGAAAUAUAAAUGCUGCAAACUGGAUUUGUUAAGGUAAUGUAGUUAAAUAUUAUGAGAAUUCUAGCAUCUACCCAUUCUAUAAUCUGUGUUCAUUUGUUUUCAAAUUUUACCUUAUGUGACUUUGUUGCUAAAUAGGAUCUGGGGGUUCCUUUUAGUAUAAAUGAAACAAACGUCUGUGCUAGGCACUAAAAGAAGUUCCAAAAGGAAAUAAAAGAACACCUAUUCUAUAAAGACUGGAGAAUGAUGAGGACUUUGGGACUAGAUCUCCAAACACCUGGUUCAAAUAAGAGUAAUUCAGUCAUACAAACUCAUAGAGUCAUUUUUGUUUAAUUGCUGUCUCGUUCUUACCUAAAAGGAUACUAAGGGUAGUCAAGCCUAUUUGUAUAUACAGAUACAGCUGCAUUUCACGGAUUCAUUUCUUCACUUAACAAAUAUUUACUGAGCAUAGACUACAUGCUUGGGACAGGAGGUAAGUGGAGAGUGAGACAAAUGAAGAAGGUAAUGAUGAUGUUGAUGAUGAUAAUAACAGCUAACAGGUAUUGAGUGUUCCCAAUGUGCAAAUAUUUGUGUGAAUUAAUCCUCACAAUAAGUGUAUGAGGCAGAUUCUAUUACUAUUCCAUUUUGCAGGUGAGGAAGGAAGUUUAGGGAGAUCUCAGAUUUCUGUGCAACCAGAAUUCACACACUACAUAUCUGAAUACAAGAGCCAGAUUUCUAACAAAUAAAUCAUCAAAUAUCUAUUCCUUUUUCUCAUGGAGCAUAUAUUCUUGCAAUUCAUUUACUUAACAAAUAUUUGUCAUCUGUUAUGUGCCAGGUGCCAUCCUAGUCCCGAGGCACAGUGAUGAAGAGACAAUGGGAUCAUUGCUGUCAUGGCUUGAAUCUUCUAAAUCCUCUAAUAAGUGUUUAAAAAGGAAGAAAGUAGAUACAUCCUAACACAAGAGACAUAACUAAUGAAUUACAUUUAUAAGAAUUACAAAACUAUUCAAUAUAAUGCAGUAUGUUAAUAAAUGCUGUACAUUCGGGGCGCCUGGGUGGCUCAGUCAGUUAAGCGUCCAACUUCGGCUCAGGUCAUGAUCUCGCAGUCUGUGAGUUCGAGCUCUGUGUCAGGCUCUGUGCUGACAGCUCAGAGCCUAGAGCCUGUUUCAGAUUCUGUGUCUCCGUCUCUCUCUGACCCUCCCCCAUUCAUGCUCUGUCUCUGUCUGUCUCAAAAAUACAUAAACAUUAAAAAAAAAUUUUUUUUAAUGCUGUACAUUCAUACAUUCAGUAAGGGCAAUGUUAUUUUCAUACUUUAAUAGUUCAUUUUAAGCCUGCUUAUCUUACUUAAAAAAGAAAAAAAAAACUCUGUUUAAUCAAAACUUAUUCAAGAGAUGUUCCUUUCAGUUACUAAAAGGGGAAAUUUUUUAUCUAAAAAUACAAAUGUUUCAUGAGGUGAGAAGUCACUAAGUUCACUUGAGGUUAAAUUUUAUCCAAAUUUCAGAAUAAUUUAUAAUUGCAAUACCAAAUAUUACUGUACAACAUUCAUUUUUUCAAUGGGCAAGACCAAAUGAAUUGUGAAGAAUGUUUGUAAAAAAAGUUUCAAUAUAGUCCAAAACUAAAAACUGGUAAUUAGUUUGUAGUUGUUUCUAAUUUAUUAGUUACAAUUGAUGACCUUUUAAAAUACUUGUUACUGGAGCACACUUCUUAUUUAAAAUGACUUCAUUGGGGUAGAAAUAUUUUUUUGGAAAUAAAACUAUUCCUUCUAAAGCUAUUUAAGAGUAUUUAACUUAAGAAAGUUAAGAAACUUAAGAAAACUAAGAAAGUAAGACCAGGGGCACCUGGGUGGCUCAGUUGGUUAAGCAUCCAACUCUUGAUUUCGGCAAAGGUCAUAAUCUUACAGUUCCCGGGAUCCAGAGCUCUACGCUAACAGUGUGGAGCCUGCUUGGGAUCCUCCCUCUCUCUUUCUCUCUGCCCUUCCCCCCCCCCCCCAAAAAAAUAAAUAAAUAAGAAAGACUAGUGUUGUAAUAUUAGGCAGGAAUUUAAUAUUUAAUAAAUAUUUCAAUUAUAUCAUACAUUUAGGAUAUGUCAACAAAGUUGAAAACUCUUGCCUGAGCAGUCAUGAGUUGACAUUUGGAAAACGUGGUUAAUAUUUGUGUAAAACACUAUAUAUGUAGUUUGUAAGUGAACAUUCAAGCCCCGGGUUUAUUUUUAUGUCCUUCUCUUACUUAUUACUACUUUUAAUAAUCCCACCAUUACCAUCAUUUUAAAUGCUAUUAGGUACAAGAGAAUGUGCUAAAAUCUGGCAUGCAAAGCCUUUACCUGGCCUCAAUGAGCUUACCCAAUGUAGCCAAAACAGGCAUAGAAUAUACACAUAAAUGAUAAAUAUCAAUAAAAAGAGAAGAUAAUGACAGUUUUGUAUAAAGCAAUUCCAAUAACAAGGUCAGAGGUGGCAUACUUUCUUCACUGAUGGAGACAACAGAGCCUGAACUGGAUUUUGUCAGAGAAGUUGUUGGUAAUUUUGUGAAGAGGAAAAGGCAUUCUAGGCAAAGGAAAGUGGUGGGAUCCAAGACAGAAAGAGCUUGGUAAAUUCCGUGAUAUUUUGCCUGGAGUUUGUUCAAAGAAAUUGUGAGAGAAUAAGUCGAAGCAGAAUGUACAAGCGGCAUCUAGAAGAUCUGAAGAGUUUGAACUUAAAUUUAUAGGCCACAAAGAGUCACUGCAAGUUUUUGAACAGGGAAAUAUGAUGAAAGCAGCAUUUUAGGAGGAUUAACUAGCCAGUGCACAUGUAAGAUGGGUUGGUAGAGAAAACCAGUUAAGAUGAUAUCACCAGAAUCCAGGGGCAGUGUUACCCAAACUUUGCUUCUUGGAAUACUAAUUUUGAGAUAUAGAGAUAGUAAUAAAAGCCUCUGUUGGAGGGAUUUUUUUCUUAAUGAAAUAAAGGAAACAUUGCAUAUUAAAUUUUCCUCUUAGAAUUACAAUGGCCAUUAAUACAUUAAAGGCCUAUAAAAAAGAAAGCCAUAAUUUCACAAACUUUUUUGCACAUAAAAGGCUUGUUAUCCAGGGGCGCCUGAAUGGCUCAGUUAGUUAAGCAUCCGACUUCCGCACAGGUCAUGAUCUCAUGGUCUGUGAGUUUGAGUCUUGCGUUUAGCUCUAUGCUGACAGCUCAGAUUCUGGAGCCUGCUUCGGAUUCUGUGUCUCCCUCUCUCUUUGCCCCUCCCUUGUGCACGCUCUCUCUCUCUUUCUCUCUCUCUCUCUCAAAAUUAAAUAUUUAAAAAAAAUUUUUAGAGGCUUGUUAUCUAUUCAUAAACAUAUCACUGUCUUCCACUGAAAUCACUUUCAAUAUUUAGAAAUUUUGGUCUUAUCAAAUACCUACUUUUUAAGAAGUCCACCUAAGAAAUAAGAGUUGAGGGAAAAAAUGAAAUUUAGCUAUUUUUUAGAAUGGAACUUUGACAUCAGUUAUUCCAGACCCUGUCUUUAAUCUUGGCAAUCAGAAACUAAAGUUCACCUUUGAUUUUGAUGCCUUUCUAGUCAAAUCAAGUAUUCCCUUAAUGAUAUUUGUGUGCCACUCCUCUCUCCCUGCAUAAGUCAUAAGAUGUCAAAGAAUAAGAUUAACCUGUGUCUUAUCAUCUUUGUAAUCUCUACAUCUGACUCAUAGUAGGUGGUGGAAAAAUACCUGUUGACAGUUGAAAGUGAUGAGAAAGCCAGAGAGUAGGUGAUUUGCCUGUGGUCACACAAGUGGUAGCUGGAUACAUUGAAAAUAAUGAAUUUCAAGAAUUAUAAAAUGUUAGCUGUAAGGAGUAGGAAAGAAACUUGGAAAUGAGAGACCUAGUAGAUCUCAAAUAAAACUCUAAUACUAAAUAGCAGUAUGAUCUUGAUCAAGUCACUCAACCUCUCUGGGCCUCUAUUUCCUCGUCUAAGAUCCAGCUCCAAAAUAUUGAGAGAUCUCCAUUUUUUAAUACUAUAAAUAGCCAAAAAUUAACUGGAUGUUGUGAUUUCUUCUACAGUGGAAAUAUAUUCUUAUGAGGGACCAUGUUUAAAUGCAGAAGACCUUUUAAGUAUUUACUUCUUUAUAUUUAUACUUCUGUAAUAUUCCUGAAUUCAUAACUUUCUGUUUUCUUAUUUUCCUCUUCUUUCAAACUUUACCAAAGAUCAUGGAAUCUCUAAAAGUGUACCAGUGUGUGUGCUUAUGUAAUAUUAGGACUGAAAAUUUUAAAUCUUAAAAUGUGAAAGCUCCAGUUGUCAGAAGAUCAUAAAGUCUCUACUUUUAAGGACUGUUAAAAAUCACCUUCUGUGAGAUCUCAGCUUUGGGAUUUUUUCUGACAUUUCAAGACUUAAAUUUGAAAGUGUAGAAUCUCUAUAAAUACAACAUUACCACAAGCCCAAAAAAGUCAAGAAAUGCAAAAGGUUAGAUUCUUACUAACUCCUCUCCCACAUUAUGCUCUAAAUUGAGUUAUGCAUCUUAGAGUUAAAUACGUAAUCAGGAAUACUUGAUGUGAAAUACAAUUUAAAUUAUGACAUAUUAAGCUUUUCUCUUUGAAUUUGGGGGAAUAAAAUUGCAUAUGUAAAUCAUACAAUAUCACAUUUUUUGUAUGUGCCCUUAAGGCUUUUUUAUGUUUUCUUCACAUAGUCCCCUCAUUUACAACUUUAUCUUGCUGUGGACUAACCAUAUGGGAAAUCCACUAUUUUAAACUUAUGCUAUUUUUGUGGUGUUACUGCAUAAGAAAAUGCCUUUAGAGUAGAAAAAUUAUAUUUUUUUACCAGAUUAUAUAAAUAAAAAUUAAUUUUUUUCUAGUGGUCAUUUUUUGGUUCAAUUCAAAGUAUAUAAUUUUUAAGCCCUAAAAAUCUCUAGUAAGUCCCCGUUGCCAUGGCCAAGUGAAAUGGAAGAUAAUAAAGGAGAAGUGUCAUGAGACCUGGCCAUUUUCAACGUGUUGAAGAUUUAAAAUUAUGUGUAAUUUACAUGAGACAUAUAAAUGAAAGGAUAGACUUCACUACGAUUUUUUUUUUUUUGCUUUAAAAAUAGGGUAUUUCUCUCUUGCAGCAGCAUCUCACAUCUCAUACAUAUGUGCAUAUUUAGUUUUCUGUGUAGCUUUCGGUCCCAAGAACACUAAUUAUAAUUUUAAAUUAUCAAUAAGAUAUAGGCUUAAAGUACAGUAGAUGUUAAAUUUCAUAUAUCUUAUAAGAUUCCCUAUGUAAAAGCAACUACUUUUUGCCUUUAUUUUCAUUUUUAAGAUAUUCUUGUGAACUUUCAGUCACUUAUAUUUUGCCUUUUAAAAGUUAAGAACACUCUGAAUUUGUGGCAUGUAAAUACUAUAUUGCUUUUACGGCUAGAAAGAUAUUACUGAUGAUAAUUCGUCUGUGCAGCAGGGAUACAAGUGAAAAACCAACACAUGGCCCUCAGUUCACAUUAGACCACCUAAAAGUGUUUCUUUGAAGCCUCUGUUGGAAAUAUUUACAAAAUGGUUUACUAUUGAUUUGUUGGUAUGCCUGUUACUAUUGUUUACCAAAGAGCCUUGAUUACAGUGCACUUAGGUUUUUGCUGGUUUGUUUGUUGUCUUUGAAGCAGUUCUGCCCACCGUAAUUAUGGUUGCCCCAAAGUGUGCCAAACGGUAGUUCCCUAGAAGUCCUGCUAUUGUCCCCUGAAACCUCCAUCCUCAUUUUUAUAUUUUUCUUCUUUUCAAAGGUUAACUGCAUUCUGCAAUUUUGUUGUCUUUCUUAAAUAUGAAAACACCAUCAAACCCAGACAAUCAUGUUGAACCUUCUCAGGAACUAAAAUGUUAUUUCUAUAGCAGGUUCAGUUGUGGGAACCAUAUACAAAAGUUAACACUUCCCUGUAAAAUGUCAUUGUCUGGGGUUUGGGGCCAUAUUAGAGCCACCUAUAGCAGCCAGCUUCCCAAAGAAUAUUCUGCUCUUUUGGCAUAAUGGGAUUAUUUUUGGAAAUGUCUCUCUUGGCCCAAGAUGUGCUACCAUCUCAAAUAAUAUUUGGGCCCCUUAAGCAUUUUCAAUGUGCUUUGCAAUCAUUUUCAUCCAUUAUGCACGCAGUUGUUUCAUCGUUAUUCUCUGAUACACAUUGACAUUCGGCUACACAGUAGGUAAGAGGUAGAGGUAGGACUGAAAACCCCAGGACAGGGAACAAGGCCCAGUUUGGUCUCUUCUUGGCUAAAUUCCAUUUUGGACAGCUCUUUGUUUUUCUUUGAUGUGUGGUGUUUAAUUGCUUAUCUCUAAACAUAAGGCUCAAUUGGUGGGAGCUUGUGUGAGGAGAGCCAUUUGCCCUUUCCUGAAUUAAAAAACUGAACAUCAUUAACAGUUUAUUUUCCACAGAGAACCAUGCUGUAAGCAUGUACCAAAAAAAUGUUAUUUCUGACUGCCCAGUUUUGCCCAGGCUAGUCCCUGAUUUAUGUCAUGACCUCACAAUAGCCUCUCGUGCCGCCUGGCCACAAAGCUUGAUUAUUUUGUAAUUUGAUCUUCGUGGGGAUUCCAGCCGUGCUUCCCCGCUUGCUCGUGGGCAGCAGAAUGUGGCAGCAUGCCUGCUCACUUGCCUGAACUGCUAUGAUCAGAUUACGCCUUCUCAGCGUUUCUUGCAUUGGCUGCCUGUGAAGUUCAGAGAAGCCUAGAGUGGAGAUAGAAUAGGAACUAUUAAAGAGCUCAUGGCAUCUUGGUAGCACAUGUGUCUACUGUUAACAGAAUCAGAGAGUCACUCCACGCUGAGUAUCUCUAUUUGUAAAAAUUUUUUAAGUGAACUUUUUUGUGCUGUGCAAUUUCCAAAAACCAUUCUUCCAACUUUAAUGUUAUUUUUAGAGCUUUCAGUUGGGUUUUAGCUUUCAGCUUUUAGAAAUUUCCAUAACAUGUUAAGGAUCUUCAUAAAAGGCAGAAAAAAUCUUUUUGUUAUUUGUUGUUAACAACAAAUCAUGAUAGGACAUCAUAAUUAGCAAAGCACUCUUCUCUCUGUAUUAUUCUUUCAUCCAAAUAUUUAUAGAAUGAUGGUAUUUGUCAACAUCUUUAUGAGAUAGCGUGACUGCAUCCUGUUGAGGUUAUAGGAGAACAGAGUGUACAACCUGGCACUGUAACAUGACAUGGAAAAUUCAGAACUGAUUCUCCUUCCAUUUUUAAUCAAGCACCAAGGAUGUGCAGUCUCUCCCCGAUGCACCGAGAUGCAGUGGUGAUCUAGAUACAUAGUCCCUGCCCUCCUGAGCUUACGAUUUAGUCUUAGAAAUAAAAGCUCAGAUGUAGUAGACACAUUUGGAUGCUUUUCAAAAUUAUAUCGGAAUAAUUUUAAAUUUUGUAAAAUGUGAAGCAAGCACAGAAACUGAGAGUUGGAAAGGACAUUGGAGUUCAUUUGUUAGAGCCUCCUUCCUCACGCAGUGCGGAUUCCUCUCCAUGGUAUUUGCUCAUAGGAGUGAACAAAAUGUGCAAUUCAUGUUUCAUUGUUCAGAAAUGAAGAAGUCAUGAUUAUAGGUUAAGAUAUAAUCUAAACUCCACUCAAAGCUCGAUUAAAACAGUUUUGUUUUCUGACACUAUCAUUCAUACGUUCAGUAGACCAGCAAGAAAGCUUGGAAAAUGAAGCAUAAACAAUGUGAUGCCAGUUUGCUUUAAAAUCCCUAAUAUAUGUUUUGUAAACAAAGCUUAUAAAACUUAGGACUCUACUAAUUAAAUAACAAGAAAGAUUUUAUGAAUACAUGAAAAGCCAGAAUCUGAAAUGCCUUCAGGGGAACAGGUGCUGCAAUGACAUCACUGUGUGUCACACAGCUUUUUUUUUUUUUUUUUGAUACUUACAUUUGGUCAUAAUGGAAAGAAAUUGAUUCCAAAUGUGUUUUCUUGACCUCCUUCUCCAUUCAUGUUAGUGCCUAACCUUAAAUGAUGUUUCUACAAUCUCGGUUGUAUUUACAGUAAUUAUAUGCAUAAUGUAGCAUAUUAUUGUCCGGACUUCCUGUUUAAUCAGUACAGAGCUUCUCACAAGUGCAGCUGAAAAGGGCAAACAAAAUUAAAGCUUUAUAUACCAAAACAAGUUUGAUUUGCUAAGCUCCCAGCAUUCCAAAGUACACAAAUUUGUUCCACUAAGUUUUCCGAUGGCUUGCAGAUGGGCAAUGAUUAAUCAGAGAGCUAACUGUGAAGUAGUUUGCAAUUAAACUGGAAAGCUCUGAAGCAUGCUAAUUGAAUCAGAAAAUUAGAGACACUGAACAGUAAUUGGCUAUUUCUCAUGCAGCAGGUGCCAGGCCACUCAUCUGUGGAACAAGGUAUUUAAGGCACAUUAGCACUAGUAAAAAUACUUCUUGAUAUGGAACAGUUAGAUUUUCUGCUCAUUUUCACCAUGGAUGUCAAAACAUACAGCUGUGCUAUCUGGUACUUGCAAUUCAUGUUUGAAGAAUUUAAGUUAGGUAAACAUAUGGGAGAGGAGUGCUGGGCAACCUCUAAGUGCACAGGAAACAGUUUAGAAGUGAAACCUAAAAUGAGGGGCUGAGGUUUUGUUUUUUCAACUCAAUCACUUUUGCUCUCUUAUGGUACAAAUUUAGAAGUUGAAUUUUCUGUUUAGUGUUAGUUUAAAGCAACAACAGUAUAAAUCUAGUACUGCUGUGAGCUUACUAGAUACAUAAAGCCGAUUCAUAUCAUGUCUCAGCAUGAGUUUAUAUCUUCUAAUUAGUACCACCAUUUUAUAGAGUGAGCACAUGCUAUGAAAGUUUGUUUGCCAUGCCAACAGGGACUGGGACAUGUAGUUUUUCUUUAGUGGAACGAUCUGCCGUAGGAUCGUGAACAACUGUAACCUAACCAGUGGGUAACCAGGCAAGAAUGGGAUUUAAUAAGUUCGGUUGUAGAGAUUUUUUUAAUAGUAAUCAUUUUCAUAUUAUCAAGGAUGGGGCAUAUGACUUCUGUUCCCUUUGCUUUAAUUAGAGUUUAGUGUUAUUAUUAAAAGUGAAAAAUAUAAAGGAAAACAAAAAUAGACUAAUUUAUACUGUGUUGGGAAGCAGAAUAGUACAAUAUUCACAUGCUAAUCAUAUUACUUAGCAGAUGACUGCAGAAAAUAGUGAGUUUGAACCAAGAGACAUAAAUUAUAAAUUGCAAAUAGUGCAUAGGGGAUAUGUUAUAACUGUGUCUCAUUUAAAUUGAGACAGGGAGUUUUCUCUGCACAAAUAAUGUUCCUUCAUUAAGUUUUAAAGUCUGUUUCAUAAUGUUUUGUUAAGAACAUUUGGCAACAUGUUACCAAAAAAAGGUUUUUAAGCGGAAUACACAGGUUUUUUAAAAGUACAACACACUACAUACAAACAUACGUUCUAUGUCUUUAAGUUACAGAUUUUUUUUUUUUAAGUUAAAGCAAAAGCUCCUCUUUGGUAGGCCUCCUUCCCCACCCCCAAUAAGCCAUGUACAUGUUACAUUCUUCAGUUGGAAAGCAGUUCUGAAACAUUUACAUGAUCAAUGUCUUUUGCUUGAGGGAUAAAGUUUGCUCUUCCAUGGACAAGUGAGAACAUAUUGAUCAUUUUAUUCUAUUUGCUAUUUCUAAAUUCAAUAUACCUCUUGAGUCGAUAAGCGAGAUCGAGAGCAUAUUCUUUUUUGUGUGUGCCUGGUUGUAGCUUGUUCUCAAGAUCCAAGAUACAUUUUUGAUUAAUCACGAAUGCUCUGAGGUCAUGGAGAGCAAAUGUGUUUGUGGAGUGUCAGCUGAUGCUGUCAGAUAAAUGUCUUAAGCUUAGCCAGGGUUCAUGCCCCAGCUUUAGGCUGUGCCAAAUGUCUCCCCUUGUUGAGGCAGAUAACAGCUACACUGGAGGCGACUGAGCUGUUUGUUCACUGAAAGGGCUGACCUUGCCAUAUGGGGCUACAAUCAGGUGGAAGAAAGAGUGUAGAUGUUUUAAUUGAAACUUUACAAAUUUAAACUUUUCAUUGGAUCAGAAGAUCUUGGUAUCCACUAAUUUACAUUCUAGCCCUUAAAUCUUGUCUGAUUAUAACUACGUUUCUUCAGUAUUUCCGAUUAGUUUCCCUAGGAUGAAUAAUUUCUCCAAUAUUGUUCUUAGUGUAUUCUGUGACUAUUUUGGCAUUAUCAGUGUAUUAUUAAAAUACUGCAAAAGCAUGAAAAUGCUUAUUAGGAUAAAAGGAUAUAUUUUUCCUUGGCUAUAUGUAGUAGAAAUUAUUCUUGCUCUGUAGUGGUUUUUUUUCUUUUUUUUUUUCCAA